UACGUAGGGUGCAAGCGUUGUCCGGAAUUACUGGGCGUAAAGCGUGCGCAGGCGGCUUUGCAAGACAGAUGUGAAAUCCCCGGGCUUAACCUGGGAACUGCAUUUGUGACUGCAUGGCUGGAGUGUGGCAGAGGGGGAUGGAAUUCCGCGUGUAGCAGUGAAAUGCGUAGAUAUGCGGAGGAACACCGAUGGCGAAGGCAAUCCCCUGGGCCUGCACUGACGCUCAUGCACGAAAGCGUGGGGAGCAAACAGG
rnacentral:rRNA from 1 species